rnacentral:lncRNA from 1 species
CCAAGACACACCCGGUCGUGGAAGGAAUGACGUCAGGAUAGAGCCACCUGAAGGAGUCCGGAUGUCUCUAAAUCCGGACACCCCUUCCCCUUCAGCCGCUGUCAUUUCGUCUUAAGGGGCCGGGCCUCCGUGUUCUCCAGGCGUGUCACCUCUCUGCUCGCAAUGCCUCUGCCUCAGGGUGAUGUGACUGCCUUAUUCUUGGGGCCUCCCGGCUCGGGAAAGUCCGCGCUGAUCGCCGCGUUAUGCGGUAAGAAUGUGGACGCGGUAGAAAUUCCCGAUGGACGGCCGGACUCUGGGGUCCCCAGCCUAAGAGCUGCAGCUCCGGGCCUCUUCCUGGGUGAGCUGAGUUGCCCACCCGCAGCCCCCGGGCCCUGGGC